UAGGGAAUCUUCGGCAAUGGGGGCAACCCUGACCGAGCAACGCCGCGUGAGUGAAGAAGGUUUUCGGAUCGUAAAGCUCUGUUGUAAGAGAAGAACGUGUGUGAGAGUGGAAAGUUCACACAGUGACGGUAACUUACCGGAAAGGGACGGCUAACUACGUGCCAGCAGCCGCGGUAAUACGUAGGUCCCGAGCGUUGUCCGGAUUUAUUGGGCGUAAAGCGAGCGCAGGCGGUUUAAUAAGUCUGAAGUUAAAGGCAGUGGCUUAACCAUUGUUCGCUUUGGAAACUGUUAAACUUGAGUGCAGAAGGGGAGAGUGGAAUUCCAAGUGUAGCGGUGAAAUGCGUAGAUAUAUGGAGGAACACCGGUGGCGAAAGCGGCUCUCUGGUCUGUAACUGACGCUGAGGCUCGAAAGCGUGGGGAGCAAACAGG
rnacentral:rRNA from 1 species